UGUCAUAUUGUGAUGAAUGGUGUCUGC
rnacentral:piRNA from 1 species